AGAUGGCGACCGGCGCACGGGUGAGUAACACGUAUCCAACCUGCCGAUAACUCGGGGAUAGCCUUUCGAAAGAAAGAUUAAUACCCGAUGGCAUAAUUAGACCGCAUGGUCUUAUUAUUAAAGAAUUUCGGUUAUCGAUGGGGAUGCGUUCCAUUAGGCAGUUGGUGAGGUAACGGCUCACCAAACCUUCGAUGGAUAGGGGUUCUGAGAGGAAGGUCCCCCACAUUGGAACUGAGGCACGGUCCAA
rnacentral:rRNA from 1 species